GACGAACGCUGGCGGCGUGCUUAACACAUGCAAGUCGAACGGAAAGGCCCUGCUUUUGUGGGGUUCUCGAUUGGCGAACGGGUGAGUAACACGUGAGUAACCUGCCCUUGACUUUGGGAUAACUUCAGGAAACUGGGUCUCAUACCGGAUAGGAGCUCCUGCUGCAUGGUGGGGGUUGGAAAGAUUCGGCGGUGGGGGAUGGACUGGCGGGUUAUCAGCUUGUUGGUCGGGUAGUGGCGUACCAAGCCUUUGACGGAUAGCCGGCAUGGGAGGGUGACCGGGCACAUGGGGCCUGAGAUACGCAGCAGACGCGUACGGGAGGCAGUAGUGGGAAACAUGGCACAGUGGGCGGACGUCAGUGACAGAAACGUUGCGUGCGGGAUGACGUCCUUCGGGGUAUGAACAGCUGUGGCAGGUGCCGAAGCGUGAGUGACGGUAAUUGGUAAAGAAGCACCGGCUAACUACGUG
rnacentral:rRNA from 1 species